rnacentral:rRNA from 1 species
UACGUAGGGGGCAAGCGUUGUCCGGAAUCAUUGGGCGUAAAGCGCGUGUAGGCGGCCCGAUAAGUCCGCUGUGAAAGUCCAGGGCUCAACCCUGGGAUGCCGGUGGAUACUGUCGGGCUCGAGUCCGGAAGAGGCGAGUGGAAUUCCUGGUGUAGCGGUGAAAUGCGCAGAUAUCAGGAGGAACACCAAUGGCGAAGGCAGCUCGCUGGGACGUGACUGACGCUGAGGCGCGAAAGCUAGGGGAGCGGACGGG